GCAUCAGUGGUCCAGAGGAAGGACGGCGCCGUCCGAAGGCGUAGAUCGCAGGUUCGAGUCCUGCCGGAUGCA
rnacentral:tRNA from 1 species